CCUUGAAGAAGCUAGUUGGGAGAACUAUGAUCUCAUUUUCACCUUGAGGACAAGGCGACUUUUCAGAGGGGAUGCACUGAUACGACUACUUGUUUAUCUUAGUUUAUUUUUAAAGAGGAUAAAAUAUAUAAGCAGUAGUUAUCUAUAAUAGUUAUAGGCAGCAGUUAUUAGGCAGUUAUCUACAACAGUUAUUAGGUAGUUAUCUACAGCAGUAACUAUUUUUGUGUUAGUAGUUAUCUUUAUGUUUAGUAUAAAUAUAUGUAUUUAGCAGAGAAUCUGGAAGAAGAAGAAAAGUAUUAUAUUUGUC
rnacentral:lncRNA from 1 species